CCGAGGGAGAUGAUGGAUGCCGCUUCUUGCCACUCCCCGGGGGCACCACAGAGAGCGGGGAGCCUGCAGAGAGCAGGGACAGCGGCCUUCAACGCACUGUUUCCGGGCAAUGUCACUAAUGCCAAAGUCAUGCCUCCCACUGGACACUCCUGGGCUCCCAUCCUUCCUACCAAGAAACUUUCUCUGUGAAACCCACGAAACAGCUAGAAAUGGAGCCCAAAAGAUAGCCAGGAUAAUAGACGACAGAGAGGAUCAAGGCCCAGCAGGACCUGGCGACUCUAACGCUCUGGCACUAGGGUGUCUAGAAUGGGAAGCCCCCAAGGGGCUGGCGUGGGAUGGGGGUGUGAUGCAGGCCGCCCACCAGGUUCCCUCCGGGCAAAGCGGCAGGGCCCCCCGCUUCCUGAGCCUUCACGGAGGUCUAGUGGUCCCUCUGCCUGAAAACCUGUCUGUUAGUCAGGAGGAGUUCGGAGCAUAUAAUUUUGGGGAGCCAUUUUCUUCUAGGGAGUUCACUUUCCUGUGCGGGGCGGCGGAGGAAGACAACACAUAACUGAACGACAGAUGAAGAUAAAUUAUAAAAGAAAAUUGUUUAAGUGUUUAAUCAGACAAUGAAGAGAAACCCAAAACAAUGAAACCUUUUCAAGGAAGUAAGGUCAAAAAUGUAGAGGUUAAAAGACCCUCCUGAGGAAGCUAAACAAAGUGCAGACAGGUACAAAGCUGAACUCCAUCGGCUCAAAGAAAACAGUGCCCGGUGGAAGAUGCCAGAGCAGUUACAACAGGAAGCUCCAUGCCAGUGGGAGCAGCCCCCUGAGUGAGAACUCCCUGGACUGUCUGUUCUAGAAGCCCUGCCUUACAGAGUGGAUGAUGUGAAAUUGUGAGCAGUUUCAGCUGUAGGCAGCAAAAACUUGGCCCAACACCAGAAAGAGAAGAUAAAACAUCAGAGGAGAGAGAGGACAGAUGUCACCCAGACAAAUUCUUUCUUAACAAGGGUUGAAAAAGGAGGCGGCAAGUUCCCAUGCAGUGUGAGCCAUGGGUGGUGGGCAAGAUCACAACACACUGCACAAGGCAGAGGCAAGAUGUGAGAAUGAAUGCAAGUCCUUGCCGGGAGCCUCCAUGACCCCAUCAGCCACAGGCCAGGGCACUGCAACAGAGGCAGACUGCACAUGGACGUGUGGUGUCUGCAUGGGCUGCAUGGACCCUCACAUGCCCACUCCACAGCUCCAUCACAGGCCUCUGCAAAGACCUCCUCUUGCCCCGCCUUCUCUUAUUAGUUUCCUGGGCUGCUGUAACAAAU
rnacentral:lncRNA from 1 species